CAGCCGCCGCGGUAAUACGUAGGUGGCGAGCGUUAUUCGGAAUUAUUGGGCGUAAAGGGUGCGUAGGCGCCGUUUAAGUUCAAGGUGAAAGCGUGGGGCUCAACCCCAUAAAGCCUUGGAUACUGGGCGGCUGGAGUACUGGAGAGGGUAGUGGAAUUCCAUGUGUAGCGGUAAAAUGCGUAGAUAUAUGGAGGAACACCGGAGGCGAAGGCGGCUACCUGGACAGUAACUGACGCUGAGGCACGAAAGCGUGGGGAGCAAAUAGGAUUAGAGACCCCUGUAGUCCCUGUCUCUUAUACAC
rnacentral:rRNA from 1 species